GCUGUAAAGAGGUACCAUGUGGAGGUACAGUCCUAUGAUAUACCUAGAAAGCAUAGCUGUAAAGAGGUACCAUGUGGAGGUACAGUCCUAUGAUAUACCUUGAAUGCAUAGCUGUAAAGAGGUACCAUGUGGAGGUACAGUCCUAUGAUAUACCUAGAAAGCAUAGCUGUAAAGAGGUACCAUGUGGAGGUACAGUCCUAUGAUAUACCUAGAAAGCAUAGCUGUAAAGAGGUA